AAUGCUCUUCACCAGGGAGGACACGAAGGAUCCCUCAGCCCCACUGAGCACAGACACCAGGUUUCCAGAGGGCCGCUUCUGGCAGGCCAGCUUUGAGGGGGACAAAGAGAAUGAGAGGGAGCCUGAGACCUGCUGAGGGAGGGCAAGGCAAAGAGAAAAGUAUUCACUCAUCCUGCUCAGAUUCAAAGAGAGUCACCCCUGGCUAGAAGCCACAAUCAUCCAAGUGGGAAGGAAUGUCUACCGAUGUUCUGAUUUAAGUGAAUGAAGGUCUUCUUUCCACCUCGUGAAAUCUUGAGGGUUAUGUAACAGCAGCUUUGAAAUGCUUGUACGAUGUACUUUGUGCUAGUCCAUCUCAAAUCUUCACCAGCUGUACCAACAACAGAAAAAAAAAGGAAUUUGGUGAGUACUUUAUAAAGCUAAAUUUACUCAAUUAAUUUCACCUGUGAUUAUGUUUUUCAUGUAUCUUGGGACAUUAGAAUGUCCUGUAUUUA
rnacentral:sRNA from 1 species